rnacentral:rRNA from 1 species
AUUGAACGCUGGCGGCAUGCUUUACACAUGCAAGUCGAACGGCAGCGCGGGCUUCGGCCUGGCGGCGAGUGGCGAACGGGUGAGUAAUGCAUCGGAACGUGCCCAGUAGUGGGGGAUAGCCCGGCGAAAGCCGGAUUAAUACCGCAUACGACCUGAGGGUGAAAGCGGGGGACCGAAAGGCCUCGCGUUAUUGGAGCGGCCGAUGUCGGAUUAGCUAGUUGGUGGGGUAAAGGCUUACCAAGGCGACGAUCCGUAGCUGGUCUGAGAGGACGACCAGCCACACUGGGACUGAGACACGGCCCAGACUCCUACGGGAGGCAGCAGUGGGGAAUUUUGGACAAUGGGGGCAACCCUGAUCCAGCCAUGCCGCGUGCGGGAAGAAGGCCUUCGGGUUGUAAACCGCUUUUGUUCGGGAAGAAAUCCUCUGGGCUAAUACCCCGGGGGGAUGACGGUACCGGAAGAAUAAGCACCGGCUAACUACGUG